CUUGGACACACAAUAAUACAAAGAUGUUUUAUGUUGAUACCAAGCCACGAGAAAUCUGGAGUUUCGAUUUCGAUCUUGAAACUGGCAACCUGACAAACAAACAAGUUUUGAUAAAAUUCCCUGAAGACACCAUUAAGACUUUGGGCUACCCCGAUGGAAUGACGUCGGAUGUAGAUGACAAAAUAUGGUGUGCAUUUAUUAAUGGAAGCUGCAUAGUACGUUAUGAUCCAGAAACUGGUCAAGAGAUUUCCAGAAUUAAUUUUCCCACAAGCCAAAUCACUUCCUGUUGUUGGGGUGGCAAGAACUUUGAUGAGCUAUACGUCACAUCCGGUCAUAUGAAUAUUACUGAUGAUCAGGCCGGAUCAGUAUUUAGAGUUACCGAUCUUGGUACUAAAGGACGACCUGCUGACGUGUUCUGGGGUUAACUGAUUUGAAUACAACAAUGGGUUAAUUGAAUUCUGUGUAUUUAUCCAUUUAAAUAUUCUUCGAUUUAUUUUAAUU